rnacentral:rRNA from 1 species
ACUCAAAGGAAUUGACGGGGGCCCGCACAAGCGGUGGAGAAUGUGGUUUAAUUCGAUGCAACGCGAAAAACCUUACCUGGGUUUGGCAUCCUCUGAACGCCGUAGAGAUACGGAAGGCCCGAAAGGGACAGAGAGACAGGUGCUGCAUGGCUGUCGUCAGCUCGUGUCGUGAGAUGUUGGGUUAAGUCCCGCAACGAGCGCAACCCUUAUCUUUAGUUGCCAGCAUUAAGUUGGGCACUCUAGAGAGACUGCCAUCGUUAAGAUGGAGGAAGGCGGGGAUGACGUCAAGUCCUCAUGGCCUUUAUAUCCAGGGCAACACACGUUCUACAAUGGCCGGUACAAAGCGAUGCGAUACCGCGAGGUGGAGCUAACCGCAAAAAACCGGUCUAAGUUCAGAUUGGAGUCUGCAACUCGACUCCAUGAAGUUGGAAUCGCUAGUAAUCGCGGAUCAGAAUGCCGCGGUGAAUACGUUCCCGGGCCUUGCACACACCGCCCGU